AGGGGGGGUGAAUUGGGUCUUUUAAAUCUUUUAUACUACUUCUAAAACUUUUCAAUUAAUUAUGCUAAGUUGUAUAGAUGCACAGUGGAAUUUAAACUUAGCAACAGUUUGAUUUAUUGAAUGAGACUUGAUUAAGUAAAUUGAAUAUGCUUGCAACUAAAGGAUGCGCAGAUAAGAGUUAAGCAAGCAAUUUAUCUAAGUAAGUAAGUGAGCAAGUUAGACAAUGACAAAAAGC
rnacentral:lncRNA from 1 species